rnacentral:rRNA from 1 species
UGCGUCGCUCCACGAGGACCUGUCUGCGAGUCGGGCUGUUUGGGAAUGCAGCCCUAAGUGGGUGGUAAAUUCCAUCCAAGGCUAAAUAUUGGCAAGAGACCGAUAGCGAACAAGUACCGCGAGGGAAAGAUGAAAAGGACUUUGAAAAGAGAGUUAAAAAGUGCUUGAAAUUGCUGGGAGGGAAGCGAAUGGAAGCUGCGGGUGCGCCCCGGUUGGAUGUGGAACGGCUUCGGCUGGUCCGCCGCUCAACGCGGGGCGCUGGUCAGCGUGGGCCAUCGCGCCGGGACAAGAGCAGGGAUUCGCUUCCUGCCUAUGCCGGUGCGGUGGCCGAGGAACGAAGCAUGCGCCUUCUGGCGUGGGUUCGCCCAACUGCAUGCUCGGGACGCUGGCGUAUUGAGCUCUUCAUCCGACCCGUCUUGAAACACGGACCAAGGAGUCUAACAUGUAUGCGAGCCGGUGGGCGGCAAACCCAUUGAGGCGCAAGUAAACUGACAGGUGGGACCCCGACCGCAAGGGAGGGAGCACCAUCGACCGACCGUGAUCUUCUGUGAAAGGUUUGAGUGUGAGCAUACCUGUUGGGACCCGAAAGAUGGUGAACUAUGCCUGAGCAGGGCGAAGCCAGAGGAAACUCUGGUGGAGGCUCGUAGCGAUACUGACGUGCAAAUCGUUCGUCAGACUUGGGUAUAGGGGCGAAAGACUAAUCGAACCAUCUAGUAGCUGGUUCCCUCCGAAGUUUCCCUCAGGAUAGCUGGAGCUNGNGUAAAAUGUUUUAUC